UCGUUUCACGCAGCGUGGAACUCUCGGCGGAGGUGCGCGGCGCGCGGCGCGCGGCGGCCACCACCAGUCGGCGGAAACGCGCGAAGUCGCCCGAGGUCGGCCGAGCGUCGACGCGUCUCUCUCUCUCCCUCCCACUCCCGCGCGCUCUCUCUCUGCCUAUCUAUCCGCAGACUACUUCAGCCGCCUCCCGCCUUUCGCGAGCGACUACAUCGAUGCCGCCUCCGCCACCGCCGACCGACAGCUCCACGAAGUAGAGUUCAUCUUUUGUGAGAUCGUCGGCUCUAUGCCGAGAACGUCGUCUCGUUAUGAUGGCAGAAGGCUGUUCCGCAUUGCCGAGAGGUAUCGAUGAGGUUCUGGCAGGUACACAUGUGGAGCAGAGCAGAGGAUCGGCUUGAAGAACCGUCUAAUAAAAAUGUUAAUUGCACGGCUCGUUAGAAGACCCCCCGCAACGUCUGCUAGAAGUUCAGCUCGGGGUCGCCUCGCGGGGAGUCUAAUUCUUCGGUAAAGUUAUUCGCUUGUCGAUUCAGGAUUAUCGAUUUAUUGAUUUGGUGAUUCGAGGGACGCACGGCACUGUCGACGAUGUCUUCCGAUUUGCAUUUCCUCCUGUGCCCCUGGAUGAUCAUAAAUCCAUCGGAAACCCCGCUUCCUAAGCCACUAUUCGCACGUGCAUAUCGUCUAAAAGCUAAUCUUAAAGCAGGAAUCGCUAACAGAGUUCGGACGGUUUGAGAAUAACCUCCAGAUUAGUUUUAUAUUGGAAAUACAUAAAAAAACAUCGAUAGCUAGA